rnacentral:ncRNA from 1 species
AUAAAGUUUUAUUUUGGCUUAUUAAUUUAUUAUUUAUUUAAUUUAUAUGUAAAUUUUUGUACAAAUUUUUAAUUAUUUUAAUAAUAAUAAAAUUUAUUUAUUUAUUUACAAUAAUUAGUAUUAUUAAUUAAAGAAAUUUAGAAAUAGUAAUAUAAUAUAGUAUUGACUAAAUUUGUGCCAGCAGUCGCGGUUAUACAAAUAAUACAAAUAAAUUAUUUUGUUUUAAGUUAAAUUAUUAAAAUUAAAUUAAAUAUAAAUUUAUUAAGUGAAAUUUUUAAAUUUAUAGAUUUUUAAUUAAAUUAGUUGAAUCUUGGAAAUUUUAAAAAAUAAACUAGGAUUAGAUACCCUAUUAUUUAAAUUGUAAAUAAAAAAAUAAGGUAGUAGUAGUUAUAUUCUUUAAACUUAAAAAAUUUGGCGGUAUUUUAGUCUAUUCAGAGGAACCUGUUUUAUAAUCGAUAAUCCACGAUGGACCUUACUUAAGUUUUAUAGUUUAUAUACCGUUGUUAUUAGAAUAUUUUAUAAGAAUGUUAAUUUUCAUAAUUUUAGAAUAAAAAAUAUAUCAGAUCAAGGUGUAGCUUAUGAUUAAGUAAAAAUGGGUUACAAUGGAAAUAUUUAAAUGGAUAUAAAUUUGAAAUAUUUAUUGAAAGUGGAUUUGAUAGUAAAAUUAUAAAGAUUAAUAAUUUGAUUUUAGCUCUAAAAUAUGUACAUAUCGCCCGUCACUCUUUCUAUUAAAGUAAGAUAAGUCGUAACAUAGUAGAUGUACUGGAAAGUGUAUCUAGAAUGC